rnacentral:rRNA from 1 species
CGUCUAGGUGGUUACGUAAGUCUGAUGUGAAAAUGCAGGGCUCAACUCUGUAUUGCGUUGGAAACUGUGUAACUAGAGUACUGGAGAGGUAAGCGGAACUACAAGUGUAGAGGUGAAAUUCGUAGAUAUUUGUAGGAAUGCCGAUGGGGAAGCCAGCUUACUGGACAGAUACUGACGCUAAAGCGCGAAAGCGUGGGUAGCAAACA